rnacentral:rRNA from 1 species
CCUACGGGAGGCUGCAGUGAGGCAUAUUGGUCAAUGGACGAGAGUCUGAACCAGCCAAGUAGCGUGAAGGCUGACUGCCCUAUGGGUUGUAAACUUCUUUUAUAUGGGAAUAAAAUGUUCCACGUGUGGGAUUUUGUAUGUACCAUCUGAAUAAGGCUCGGCUAACUCCGUGCCAGCAGCCGCGGUAAUACGGAGGAUCCGAGCGUUAUCCGGAUUUAUUGGGUUUAAAGGGAGCGUAGGUGGAUUGUUAAGUCAGUUGUGAAAGGUUGCGGCUCAACCGUAAAAUUGCAGUUGAAACUGGCAGUAUUGAGGACAGGAGAGGUGGGCGGAAUUCGUGGUGUAGCGGUGAAAUGCUGAGAUAGCACGAAGAACUCCGAUUGCGAAGGCAGCUCACUGGACUGCAACUGACACUGAGGCUCGAAAGUGUGGGUAUCAAACAGGAUUAGAUACCCCUGUAGUC